rnacentral:lncRNA from 1 species
AUGGCAUCUGAGAGUGAUAAGGGUUAAAACUGGGGUAAUCCGAUGUACCUCCCAUCGAAUACCCGGGAUUAUGUGAAAAGGGUGGGUAAUAAGGUGGCUGAACAAAUCCCGAGGCCUGAGUGCCUCCUUAGGACUCUCCCAUUCCCUCUUCCGACAUAUUUACUCCGAGACUGCCAUCCCUCCUCUGAUCCACAUCCAUCUGAUCCCCCACAUCCUCUGACAUAUCCCCUUGCACUGUUCC